rnacentral:tRNA from 1 species
GCCCGAGUGGCGGAAUUGGCAGACGCGCUAGCUUCAGGUGCUAGUGUCAGUAAUGACGUACAGGUUCAAGUCCUGCCUCGGGCACCA